rnacentral:rRNA from 1 species
UACAGAGGUGGCAAGCGUUUGUUCGGAAUUACUGGGCGUAAAGGGCGCGUAGGCGGUUCGUUAAGUCCUGUGUGAAAUCCCCCGGCUCAACUGGGGAACUGCACAGGAACUAGCGGGCUUGAGUUCGGGAGAGGGAAGCGGAAUUCCGGGUGUAGCGGUGAAAUGCGUAGAUAUCCGGAGGAACACCGGUGGCGAAGGCGGCU